rnacentral:misc_RNA from 1 species
GAUGAAGAACGUAGCGAAACGCGAUAGUUAAUGUGAAUUGCAGAAUUCAGUGAAUCAUCGAGUCUUUGAACGCACAUUGCGCCCCCUGGUAUUCCGGGGGGCAUGCCUGUCCGAGCGUCAUUGCUGCCCUCAAGCACGGCUUGUGUGUUGGGCCUCCGUCCUCCUCCCGGGGGACGGGCCCGAAAGGCAGCGGCGGCACCGCGUCCGGUCCUCGAGCGUAUGGGGCUUCGUCACCCGCUCUUGUAGGCCCGGCCGGCGCUUGCCGACACAUCAAUCUUUUUUCCAGGUUGACCUCGGAUCAGGUAGGGAUACCCGCUGAACUUAAGCAUAUCAAUAAGCGGAGGA